UAAAAGUGGUUAGUGUAAACAUGAAAAGUGGUACUAUAAAUGUGCUAUUUGUGGCAAUUUCCCGUUUUUAUUAAACUAAUCAUAAAUUGAUUAUUAAUGUUCUUCAUUGUUUACUUAAAUAAAAAUAACAGAAUUACCAAAUGUGACUAAAGUAUAUAUUCUCCAUCAUUUUUAAAAUUUUAACAUAUUAAAAUAAAUUAAACAACCACAUUAACUAUAUAGUAUUAAUUUAGAUUUUUUUGUAUAUGUUAUAUUUUGAACUUUUAAACUCCAUCAUACUCUUUCGCAGAUAUUUAACAUCGUUCACAGGUUCCACAUAAAAAAUAAAAAAAUAAAUAAAUAAAAAAAUAAAUAAAUAAAUAAAUAAAAUAAAUAAAUAAAAAUGUAAAUUCUUUUUGAAAAACGAAUU
rnacentral:lncRNA from 1 species